GAAGGUGUUAGGCACCCAAAGCAUCCUAGGUACUCCUAGGGAGCCCUUUUCACAUUUGUUGUAAGGUUGUUGUUUUUUUUUUUUUUUUGAAAAUUUAUUUGUGCAAACAUGAUUGAAGGGAUGAGAAAAGAAUAUACAAAUUUAUUUACAUUUUGUGUUUGAAUGGAUGAACCCAUUGCCUACGUACCAUCUUAAAAAAAGAUUAGGAUCA
rnacentral:lncRNA from 1 species